UAACAGCUAUCAGCUAACAGCUAUCAGUUGUAUUCAAAAGUUAAUCCAAACAUGCCCUAAGAUACUGAACAUUAUUUGCACACGAGUCGCUGAAAAUGGUCAUUGUUGCCCAUGCCUUCACUGCCAAUCAUGUAUCUAUAUGCAUCAGCAUGAAUGGUCAGAUUUCACCCAAAGUCAGUGACCACUCCCUAUGGUUUCUCCACAAAUUUACAUGAAAAUCUUAUAGCAAUUAAAUAAACCAAGUAUUAAUACACAUGAUGAAGCGAGAGGAUUCCAUUCUUUUCCCUCGUGUUGGAAUUUCCUUUUCUUCUGUGGAACUUCGAAGUGUUAAAAAAGAAAAAAAACCCACAUGAGGGCAUUGGUUACUCUGGAAAUACGUCUUACUGUUGGCAGGUAUUGGACACUUUUUCUUGGUCGAUGCUUUUGAGCUCGAGUUUAAACACCGCACUUUCCUUCUUGCCACUUUCAAAUCAAUUUUUUGGUUUCUAGAUCCUGGGUAAAACAAGGUACUGUAGGUAUAAGAUCUGACAAGUUUGUUUCUCAUAAGUCCAGAGGCUGAGCUUUAGUAAAAACAAAUACUCCACCACCUCCAACAGCACGCCCUAAAAGCAUAUUGCUAUCCAGAUAGGAAAGAUAAUAUAGUCCUCCCACAGAUCUCCUCCCUGGAUUUGCUGGGUUUCUUACAGGAAUUUGUGCCUUGAAAGUGCGUAUGAACUGCAAAAUCUGUAGGCUUAGGAAUGUGCGUGGUAGUAGUGCUGGAGCUAUUAAAGCUUGCAGCUCUUCGCUAAUUUUAAUAUUUUGAACACUUAUCUUGAACUUUUUGGAGUCAUGUUUUAUGAAGGACAUAGAAGCUGACCUCUUCAAACUGAAGAUAGAUGUUGCGCACUGAAACAACAUCAAAUUUUGCAGAAACAAGGAGAGUAGCACCUUCUUGUUCCUCUAACAAUGUUGGAACACUCCACUGAACAACAUUACGAAUGAUACCUCCAUUAGACUGAUUGCGACAUUCAAACUUCUGGAAGAUCUGCCCGAACUAUUCUCACAUUGAUGGGCCAAAAACAUAACAAAUCAAGAAAUUGAGAGAGAGAGAGAGAGAGAUGGCCAACUUCUCUAAGAUGUCUCUGUUUGAGCUAAGAAAUGAUGAAGUUGCAAAAUGCUAACAUACUCUUGAAUAGCAAGUUUUGUUCCACUGCCACAAUGACCAAACAAUUUCCUUCAAGAAAACAUGGAACCUCAAUCGUUUUCUCAAGCACAUAUGAAAGCAUUGAAGCUCCACUCUUGCAGAUUUUGUAGAUGAAACAUGACUCCCAAUAAAAAUUGGACUAUAUAUUUCAAACACCAUUAAGUGGCCCUUGUAAGUGAUCAACCAAAAUUAAUUGGCCACGUAUGCUUAACCUUUGAAAUCACCUGAAAAUAAAUACAGACAGUUUUAGGUUUUGACUACCAUCGUUAAAACUCAAUUUCGGGUUUCAAGGAAUAAACUUUGUGAUAAAGAUUGAUAAACCUCCAAUAAUUGAUAAUCUUCACUAAUGAGCUGGAGGUAUAUGUUCAUGAGGAAUAUCUUUUAUUAGUAGAAUUGCAAAUGGAUGCUGAUAGCCAGAAUAAUCGGGCAAAAAGGAACUUACCUAACUCAAAUUGUUGUUAAAUUACAGUACUUUCCUAGCCCUGAGAUACCAAUAAACUAAAAAAAAUGCCGCAACAGCACCGACAAUUAUCCCAGCUGUUGUCAGCCAAAAGGCAAACACGUGCUCUUCAAGAUAGGACUUCAAGUUCAUGCCAAAUAUACCUGCAACUAGAGCACCAACUGCCACACAAAAUGUCCCAACCUGAAGAAGUAAUUCCACUCUGCUCACUUCAAGCCUCCGAGAGCUUAAAUGGACAGCAAUUGAAUCUUCCAUUUCUUUUGCAGAAUCAAGAAGUCGUUCUGCCUGACCAUGACAAGAUUCACAUCUGCAAAAGGAAUAAGAUGAUGUCAGGAUGCAGAAUACUUAACAUGAACAGAAUAGAUGUUGACUUACUAUGCAUACCAGAUUACUAAAGCUCAUUGCAAGCACUUUCAUCGAUUCAUUUCCUUUUUUUCUUUGUGGGGCAACACUUCUUGUAACUUAUUUUCUGAUUCUUUUAAGUAGAACUAAAAUGAAAACAAAAUAGAGUGAAUUAUUAUUUGCCCUCUGAGACUAGGGCAUAAUUUCUAGUUGGUCCUUGCUGUUUUUAAAGUUGAAGUAAAACAAAUAAGGAUCAAGUGUUUUCCCUAUCCAUACGGGGCUUGCUUAUGACAGAAAAUUUUAAAAAACAUUGGCUAGCAUCAAUAGUGAAAUUUCAAAGAGAGGUUCAUAAACUAGCUUAUAUCCUGCCAUCCCUCUCUCCCAACCCCCAAGCCAACCAAAAAUAUAAAAUAAAAAGAAAAAGCUAUCUCUCUGGAUGAUCCAAUACUUUGCUACAAACACUAAUACUGUGAUAAUGUAUAAAUACCAAAAUUCCAUUCCAAUCAACACAUUUUCAGGGGCUUAUAAUCAUCUGGCUGCAUCUUAUGUAGAUUGAUCAAGUCAUCACAGAGGAAAUUUUUAUCCAUGAAAAAUGCACAGCAUAUGACUAUGGAAAUAUUGACAUGCAGCACACACUCCAUAUGCACUGAUAAGGCAACGACAUUGAUUCAUGACUAAAAUAUAAGAUCAUGUCAAUAAAAAUUACUGUUGGUUUCUAAAAUUCUCUUUUGUUUCUUUUCUUCUUUUACUUUUAGCACUAUUUAGAGUUAAUAUCCUAAUGAAAUCUUAAUAGCAUUACACUAAACUGCAUCGCAUCAUAAGAAAAGUUGAGAGAUGGAUUAUAGACCAUCUAUAUUACAUUGCAAAUCAUGAAUAAGAACAGAAUAUCUAUGUUAUAUAUUCUUUAAAAGCACUAGAAAAACAAGCAGGAAUAACCUUUGAAGAUAAUUUUCCAAAAGCAUCUCAAUUUCUUCCUCUUCUUCCUCAGCAAUUUUCUUUUCUAAGGGAACAGAGCAUUCCACACUAUUAUUUCCCUUUACAAGAGUGCAGUUUCUUCCCAUUAUACAUAUACGACGUAUUUCAUGUGGGUCCUCCAAAAGAUCAAGCAACAUUUGUCUAAGAGCUCCUGCCCUUGAACCUAAUUCAACCAAUGUUUGCUUGCUAAUACGGAGUUCCUCUAAUAUGUCAGCAGUUAACUUGUUGGGUAAAACUUCAAGAAGAGCUUGAACACGAGGUUCAAUAGUCAUAAGUCUCUGCUCCAAUCGCUGCACUCGUGAAAGCAAUGCUGCUUCAACAACCUCAAGCUCAAAUGGCAUGCAUGGCCCUCCAUUGAUAUUUCUGGGAUUUAAUCGAGGUAAUAACGUGUCUAUAAAAGCUUUCCCUCCUUUACAGUUAUAGUCAAAUAUAAGGACACGCUCUUGCAUCGCUAUUGCUCGUAACGAGCCCAGAUUUAGCAAUAUAGCAUGCUCACGAACCUAGAACGGUAUUCCAAUCAGUUAAUCAUAACAAAUAGAAGACUAUCAAUAUCAAAUGUGCCCAGAAUAUUCAGAAUGAAAAUUCCAAAAAGGUUCAAGCAGAAAGGCCCAUGCUUCAUCCUUUGGUAAGUUUGAUGUUCAUUUAUUUGCAUUUUUCCUUCUAAUAAUUUAGGAUGCAUUCCUCUUGUGCAUUUUCUUGUUUCCUCAAUCAUAUGCGGAGAAAAAGGAAGACAACACAAAUUAUCAAUAAAAAAACAAAAAAUUAGAAACUACAAUGCAAAUUAUCAAUGAAAAAACACAUAAAAAAUAUAACUACCAGAGCAGUAGACAAACUAAGUACCAGUAAAGAAGGCAUUGAAUUUGUCAAAAACAAUGACGGAUCAACACUCCGGAUAUCUCUUGGGCGAAGACCACUUGACUUUAAUAAUUGGCGUCUGUUUAUUUUCCUUGUAGAUACCAUCCCAUUUGACUUCACUUCUACAACCUCAUAAAUCGGCUCGCGAAUCCCAAGCGUAAGAGAAUCACCAUACGAAGUGGUAAUUCUCUCUCGCCGGCGUUGUUGGACUUUCGCGUCCUCUCUCGUUGCUUCUCCACCAUCAUCGCCAUCAGACACCAAAGUCUCCGAUUCACUCCAGCGAUCCUCUUCAGCAGACGACUUCGUCAAGCACCUAACUCUGGCAGAUACAUUGAGCGCGAUUGGAACUAGCGGAAUCAUAGCCUUCCGGAUGGAAAUUGGAGAAGACGAUUGGCAUGGAGAGGGAUAGAAGAGGAUAUAAUCAGGUCCUGGAGACGAAGUGUGGACUGGAAAUUGAAGAAGAUGAGAAGACAGUGCCAUUUCUGAGUGUGAGAAGUUCUGGUCAUGGAAGGUAGGUGAGAGAGAGAGAGAGAGAGAGCGGGAGGCAGCUCAACAAACAAGAGAAAAGUAAUAAAAGGCAGAAAAGACAAGGGCUAAC
rnacentral:misc_RNA from 1 species